rnacentral:rRNA from 1 species
UGGCUCAGAUUGAACGCUGGCGGCAUGCCUUACACAUGCAAGUCGAACGGCAGCGGACCUUCGGGUGCCGGCGAGUGGCGAACGGGUGAGUAAUAUAUCGGAACGUACCUUUCAGUGGGGGAUAACGUAGCGAAAGUUACGCUAAUACCGCAUAUUCUGUGAGCAGGAAAGCAGGGGAUCGCAAGACCUUGCGCUGAUUGAGCGGCCGAUAUCAGAUUAGCUAGUUGGUGAGGUAAAGGCUCACCAAGGCGACGAUCUGUAGCGGGUCUGAGAGGAUGAUCCGCCACACUGGAACUGAGACACGGUCCAGACUCCUACGGGAGGCAGCAGUGGGGAAUUUUGGACAAUGGGCGCAAGCCUGAUCCAGCCAUGCCGCGUGAGUGAAGAAGGCCUUCGGGUUGUAAAGCUCUUUCGGCCGGGAAGAAAUCGCACAGGUUAAUACCCUGUGUGGAUGACGGUACCGGAAUAAGAAGCACCGGCUAACUACGUG